UUUUUUUUUUUUUUUUUGUCUUUUUUUUUUUUUGUUUUUUUUUUUUUUUUUUUUUUUUUGUCUUUUUGCCAUUUCUUGGGUGGCUCUCGCGGCAUAUGGAGAUUCCCAGGCUAGGGGUUGAAUUGGAGCUGUAGCCACCGGCCUACACCAGAGCCACAGCAACGCGGGAUUCGAGCCUCGUCUGCAACCUACACCACAGGUCACGGCAACGCCGGAUCGUUAACCGUCACGGCAACGCCGGAUCGUUAACCGUCACGGCAACGCCGGAUCGUUAACCCACUGAGCAAGGGCAGGGACCGAACCCGCAACCUCAUGGUUCCUAGUCGGAUUCGUUAACCACUGCGCCACGACAGGAACUCCUUUUUUUUUUUUUUUUUUGUCUUUUGUCUUUGUUGUUGUUGUUGUUGUUGCUAUUCUUUUUUUUUUUUUCACUUUAACUUAUAACUAAUGGUGGCCAUGGUGAUGCUUUUUUGGUUAGUGAAAUAAAAGAAGUCUGCUUGGGGGAGGGGGAGUUUCAGGGGAUGGUUUUAUUUACUGAUGUGAGUCAUGGGAAGAGCGCAUCGUCUUAUCUCUUUUUCCCUGCUUGGGUGUGACUGUGAAAGGGCAUACUGUCGCUUUAAAAUUGUGAAAGCUGUCCUGCUGUCAAGAGGGGACAAACCCUAAGGACAAAAUAUCAAAAUACUGAGAAAUGGCAGAGCUGAUUGAGUCAAAGCCCCAAACCUGGAACAGCCUACCUCCAGAACUCAUGUUUUAUGAGAUAAACACUUUUAAUACUUUUGCCAUUUUUUUCUUGUCUCUUUUCUCACUUUCAGCCAAAUGACUUCUAACUGAAGCAUGGUUCAUUGCUGCAUAAGAAGAUAUCUUGGAAAAUGGACCCAAAUACUGCCUGUAAGUUUGGCUGGUGUGAAUUGGAGCACUUUCAGCAGCUCAAGAGUUGUGUGGAAAGCUGAAGACAAAGGUAAAGUUUAUACUUUUAUUUUUAAAUUUAUUUAUUUAUUUGCUUUUUAGGGCUGCACCUGCGGCAUAUGGAAGUUCCCUG
rnacentral:lncRNA from 1 species